AGAAGCACGGCUGACAAGAGACUCCCCCCUCCCCUUCGUAACACCCCAACCAGCGAGCACCUUUUCUUCUUCAACAAAAAGGACCAGCGACACCAUUAGCGGGAGAACCGGCAAACAGAGUCCAUCCCACGCCUUACCCCUUUGUUCUGCUUCUACCUCACCGGCGAGUGGCUGGAAACCGGCGACAUCCCUUAAUCUCUUCAACUCCACCACCAAUUUCGCCAACCACUUGCCAUCGGGCAGAAACUGAAGCUGAAGAAUGAGAAAUUGGAGGAUAAUUUCAGGGUUUCGGAUAGAAAAAU
rnacentral:lncRNA from 1 species